UACGUAGGGGGCAAGCGUUGUCCGGAUUUACUGGGCGUAAAGAGCGUGUAGGCGGCCAGGCAGGUCUGUUGUGAAAACUGGAGGCUCAACUUCCAGACGUCGACAGAAACCGCUUGGCUAGAGUCCGGAAGAGGAGAGUGGAAUUCCUGGUGUAGCGGUGAAAUGCGCAGAUAUCAGGAAGAACACCCGUGGCUAAGGCGGCUCUCUAGUACGGUACUGACGCUGAGACGCGAAAGCGUGGGGAGCGAACAGG
rnacentral:rRNA from 1 species